GUCUCAGAGAGGAGAGAACUUAAGCUCACUGCUGAAGUUCACCGUACCCGUCGCUACCGCCCUCGUCACCGCAGUUCAGAUCAAGCAAAGGCAUGGAGGACUGUCUGUGAAAAUUUGAUAACUGUAAAUCUGAGAUUUUUGUAAAUAUUGUUGAUCCAAGUUGUACACUA